GGGCCGGUGGCCUAGCGGUUAAGGCAUGCGAUUGCAGAUCGCACGGUCAUUGGUUCGAAUCCGAUUCGGCCCU